AGAGAGAGUAAGGGGUGUUGAGACUCUCUGGACAGUAUAUCGGGUUGAAUCCCACUAAGUCCUCUAAUUUAAACAUUUAAGGUUCUGAUGGGUGGGUGCGGAGAGCUAGCUGUCUUGCGCCGCCCAAGACAAGCCUCCUAAGCUAAUUCCCUUGCUUAUUAAACCUGCCGCCUGCCCAUCUGGAGGGGUUGUCUCUUCAGGCGUCUCCUUCUGUGUAUUCCGGCUGGUUUCAGAUUUCACCUGUGAAGCUCCCGAGGAGGCUGUGAACUGAGAGAAAUGACAUAUAAAGCUUGGAUUUGCCAGGUUUAGGAGGCGUGGAACAGAGUGAACAAGAUGGGAUUUGGAGUCACAGACUACUGGGUUCAAAUUCCAGCAGCACUGCUUCCUGGUGGUGUGGCCAUGAUAUCCAACUGAAGGAGACUGGAUUAACCCAUGGACAGUGAGGUCAGGGUACCACCCCUCCCCUUCAAAGGAUCUGCCUAGGGACAGGUCAAGGGAACUACGGUCAGCCCCUAGCUGUUGGAGAAGAGUUCUUGGGAUGCUCACCAGGGUCUCCACCAUGUUGGACUUGUUGUUACGUAAUGUUUUCACGAUGUGGAACACGUCGAUGAUGUUUUGCUGCUGGAUCAUCUCACACACGCUGCAGAUGGCACAGAAGGUUCCACUGCGGCCGCCCCCGUUUCUAAACACAGAGGAAAGCGGUGAGCCAGAUUCCCUUCAGGCCACACCAGUACUGGGGAAAUGCCCUGGCAAAUGCGAGAACAAGAGCAAAUAAUCCUAAAAUUUAUAUGGAACCAUAAAAGACCAAGAAUUGCC